rnacentral:rRNA from 1 species
AACGAACGCUGGCGGCAGGCCUAACACAUGCAAGUCAAACGGGGUAGCAAUACCUAGUGGCGCACGGGUGAGUAACACGUGGGAAUCUCCCUUUCAGUACGGAAUAACAGCGGGAAACUGCUGCUAAUACCGUAUGGUCCCUUCGGGGUAAAGAUUUAUCGCUGAAAGAUGAGCCCGCGUCAGAUUAGCUAGUUGGUGGGGUAACGGCCUACCAAGGCUACGAUCUGUAGCUGGUCUUAGAGGACGAUCAGCCACACUGGAACUGAGACACGGUCCUGACUCCUACGGGAGGCAGCAGUGGGGAAUAUUGGACAAUGGGGGAAACCCUGAUCCAGCCAUGCCGCGUGAGUGAUGAAGGCCUUCGGGUUGUAAAGCUCUUUAGGGUGGGACGAUAAUGACGGUACCACCAGAAUAAGCCCCGGCUAACUUCGUGCCAGCAGCCGCCGUAA